AGUGAACGCUGGCGGUAGGCCUAACACAUGCAAGUCGAACGGCAGCACAGUAAGAGCUUGCUCUUACGGGUGGCGAGUGGCGGACGGGUGAGGAAUACAUCGGAAUCUACUUUUUCGUGGGGGAUAACGUAGGGAAACUUACGCUAAUACCGCAUACGACCUACGGGUGAAAGCAGGGGAUCUUCGGACCUUGCGCGAUUGAAUGAGCCGAUGUCGGAUUAGCUAGUUGGCGGGGUAAAGGCCCACCAAGGCGACGAUCCGUAGCUGGUCUGAGAGGAUGAUCAGCCACACUGGAACUGAGACACGGUCCAGACUCCUACGGGAGGCAGCAGUGGGGAAUAUUGGACAAUGGGCGCAAGCCUGAUCCAGCCAUACCGCGUGGGUGAAGAGGGACUUCGGAUUGUAAAGCCCUUUUGUUGGGAAAGAAAAGCAGCAGGUUAAUACCCCGCUGUUCUGACGGUACCCAAAGAAUAAGCACCGGCUAACUUCGUG
rnacentral:rRNA from 1 species